ACUGUUAUAGUUUAAUGAAAGAACCUAUAAUCCCAAGGACCGGGAUUUUUAGAGUGAUGGUUUGAGUUCAUCUAACAGCU